GGAAUACCCUGAAAAAGUCCAACAGAUCAAUGCUUAACACUUUAAUAUAUGCUCAUUUUUUGUAAUUGUUUAUAUUGAUUCAUAUUGUUCAUACUCUUACAAAUGUACUAUCUAUUUGUUAUAAUUCAUAAUGUCACUCUCUUUCCCUUAACAAAUGUUAUUUUUUUUAUAUACGGUACAUGUAUAUAUGUGCAAUCUUAUUCAAUAUACAUAUCCAUUUUUUUUAACUGUGAUAAUUAUUAAACUGUUAUUAACCUU
rnacentral:sRNA from 1 species